UUAUAAAAGGAACUUUGUUUCUGUUUCCCAAUGUCCCUUUACACUUGCUUGGUGGAGAUAACUCUUCCCUUCCAUUUAGAAGAAAACGUAGGAGGCUGGGAUGCAGAUGGAAAAGGCCCUUGUGUCUGGGACACAUUUACUCAUCAGGGAGGAGAGAGAGUUUUCAAGAACCAGACUGGCGAUGUAGCUUGUGGCAGCUACACUCUGUGGGAGGAAGAUUUGAAAUGUAUCAAACAGCUUGGAUUGACUCAUUACCGCUUCUCUCUUUCCUGGUCACGUCUGUUACCUGAUGGGACGACAGGUUUCAUCAACCAGAAAGGAAUUGAUUAUUACAACAAGAUCAUCGAUGAUUUGUUAAAAAAUGGGGUUACUCCCAUUGUGACCCUCUACCACUUUGAUUUGCCUCAGGCUUUAGAAGACCAAGGAGGUUGGUUGUCAGAGGCAAUCAUUGAAUCCUUUGACAAAUAUGCUCAGUUUUGCUUCAGUACCUUUGGGGAUCGUGUCAAGCAGUGGAUCACCAUAAAUGAAGCUAAUGUUCUUUCUGUGAUGUCAUAUGACUUAGGUAUGUUUCCUCCGGGUAUCCCUCACUUUGGGACUGGAGGUUAUCAGGCAGCUCAUAAUUUGAUUAAGGCUCAUGCCAGAUCCUGGCACAGCUAUGAUUCCUUAUUUCGAAAAGAGCAGAAAGGUAUGGUGUCUCUAUCACUUUUUGCAGUCUGGUUGGAACCAGCAGAUCCCAACUCAGUGUCUGACCAGGAAGCUGCUAAAAGAGCCAUCACUUUCCAUCUGGAUUUAUUUGCUAAACCCAUAUUCAUCGAUGGUGAUUAUCCUGAAGUUGUCAAGUCUCAGAUUGCCUCCAUGAGUCAAAAGCAAGGCUAUCCAUCAUCGAGGCUUCCAGAAUUCACUGAAGAAGAGAAGAAAAUGAUCAAAGGCACUGCUGAUUUUUUUGCUGUGCAAUAUUAUACAACUCGCUUAAUCAAGUACCAGGAGAACAAGAAAGGAGAACUAGGUAUUCUCCAGGAUGCGGAAAUUGAAUUUUUUCCAGAUCCAUCUUGGAAAAAUGUGGAUUGGAUCUACGUGGUACCAUGGGGAGUACGUAAACUACUGAAAUAUAUUAAGGAUACAUAUAAUAACCCUGUAAUUUACAUCACUGAGAAUGGGUUUCCCCAGAGUGACCCAGCGCCUCUUGAUGACACUCAACGCUGGGAGUAUUUCAGACAAACAUUUCAGGAACUGUUCAAAGUCUCAGCUGGGCCCUCCCUGACCUGAGCUGUUCCAGGAGAAAUGGGCAACUCUGAACGCUGGUGAAAAUUGGAACAUCAAUGUGUCCUCGAAGCAAAUCUGUGAAGUGUCCUAGGAGAACUGCAAAAUUGAGAAUCCUUUCCGUGAGUGUUCUCCAAAGUAAAUGUGGUCACAUCUGGAGAUGGACAACGCAAUUUAGUGGCCUUGGAAAUCACACGCUGUCAUUUCUGCGAUCGGUCAUAACCAGUCCUGAUUCCAUGUUAGAGGAGACUACAUAAGGACACAGGUACCAGAAGAUGAAAAAUUUGGAGUCUAGUGAAAAGAAGUGACUUGUUCAAAGUCACACAGCACAUGAAGAACAGAGCCUCUAUGAUGAAUUUCUUGACAGGAUCCCAUUGAGGACGCCACAUUAUGUUUCAUUGCCAUGUCUCCAUAGACUCUUCUUGGUUGUGAUGGUUUCUCACGCUUUUCUUGGUUUUGAAGACGUUGACAAUUUUCUUCCAUUGGGAUUUGCUUGAUGCUUUUCUCAUGAUUACACUGGAACUGUGACUUUUUAGAAGGAAGAUCAUAGAGGCCUCCAGGCUGUGGGACUCCCUCAGACAGUGGCCAUGGAUGGCUGACAGGACGCAUUCUUCCCAGUCUGGCCCUGUGAAGGUGAUGCUGUGAACCCUCCCCAAGGGAGGUACCAAAAGCCUGCAUGAAGCAAAAACUGGAAACAAAUAAAGGAGAGUAUUGUGACUUUGCACUAAGUUACUCAUUUAUUCACAUAAUUAAUGAGUUUCUAUUAGUGUUAGGCACCGUUCUAGAUGAUGGUAUAAUUAGUUAACAGAAACCUCAUAACUCUCGCCCCCCAUGGAGCUUACAUUUCCAGGGAGGGAGAGAGAUGAUACAACAAUAAGAAAAUACAGAGCUAAUGUCAUUCUAUAUUGUAUAAUUAUGUAAAAUCAAGCCUGAGUAUUUGACAGCUUCUCAGAUACCACAGAUCUGUUGUUUAAUGAAAUCAGCCUAAAAGAUAAAAUUGUGUAUUUGCAUGUACACAUCACCUUGCCUGUAUUAUGAGUCAGCGUUUCUUCUUAUAAGAAACCACAGCUUGGUAAAAGGUAGAAGCUCAAUUUCCUAAUAAAGAGAUAUGUUUUACUAGGCAGGCUGUUGCACUGCAUAUUACUCUCUCUGACCUUGGCUUUAGUCCAAGGAGGAUUAAACCCAGAAAGAGAAGGGAGUAAAGCAAGGUGUAGCAGAAAAGCAAAACAAAACAAUACAAAAUAACCUCAAAGAAAUUAGUAAAAAUAAUUAGUGCAUUCAGAGAUUAUAUCUUUCUUUCUUUUUUUCCUUUUUUUUUUUCUUUCGAGACGGAGUUUUGCUCUUGUUGCCCAGGCUGGAGUGCAACGGCGCGAUCUCAGCUCACCGCAACCUCCACCUCCCCGGUUCAAGCGACUCUCCUGCCUCAGCCUCCCGAGUAGUUGGGAUUACAGAGACAGAGUCUUGCUAUGUUGCCAAGGCUGGAGUGAAGUCUCAUAAUCAUGGUUCACUGUGAACUCGAUCUCCACAGCUCAAGGGAUCCUCCUGCUUCAGCAUCCCAACUAGCCAGGAAUGCAGAUCAGCCAUAUUCUAACAAUACAUUUCAAAGUACUGCUGACGGAGGCUCCACCUGAAACCUGUUCUCUCAGAUAAGUAUCUUCAUCCCAUUCAUCGUUUCAAGAAAAAUAAAUAAAUAAAUCUUACAGCACGGCAGCAUUUUCAUCUGCUUUGGUUUCAGCCAGAGAUAAACUGUUCCUGCUGCAAAGUAAUUAAUAUCAGUCGCCUGGAAAGCAGAAAUUGGGAGACAACAGGCUCCUCUUUCUUGAUAAACAGAUUGUUGGGUAAGGUAUGCACAUGGAUGUGACAAUUCAUUUGGCCAUAGAAAUAGCAGAAAUGAGACGUUUUUAGACAGAUAUUUGGAAGGCAUGAGCAAAUAUCCCCAGGCUUCAUCCAAUUGAGCUCAGAUGAGUCUUUUGCGCUAGGUUUUGAGCUUCUCUAAGUCCCUAGGAUCAGCAGAAAUCUGUAGACCCCCAGGGGUGUACCCUUAAAACAAUACGCAGAAUCAGUACAAUCAUGGCCAACUCCUGGGAAAGCUGGCUCUGUGCCCGAGUCCUUUGCAGCCCCCGCUUUCCUGACCCCACUUCCCAUGUGACUAAGGAAUCAAAAACUUGGCCUAGUUGAUAUGUAAUCCAGGCAAUCAGAAAUUAGAACCGUGCGGCUAGGAAAGAUGAGCAAAAGAUGCUUAGAAACAAGACAAGCAGAAAACAACCUCCCCAGAGCUAUCCUGUGUGGGGAAACCUCCAAAAGCUAGGGAAAGACAGCGUAUGUUUUGUAUGGUCCAGGAGGAGCAAGCUCAUCAUGGCUGCCUGCAAAUGAAGAAAUCAUGUUUCUGUCAUAGCAAAAUGGUUAUGUUUUGGAGUGUUCUGUGAAUGAGACAUGAGAGGGGAAACGCCACCACACAAGUAUUCCUUACAUUCAAUUCUUCAGAGAAGGCUUCAGGGAUCAUUUUCCCAUCUCAAAAAGCAUAAAUUGCCAUUUUAUAGGAGCUUGAGAAGAAUAUUCUAGAAGUGAUUCAGAGCCAGGACAUUUGGGGAUUUGUUUAGGUAAACAUGAAAAUUCUAUCCAUUUUUAUUCAUCCAUCCCAGCAGUCAGCCAGCAUCCUUACAAACUCAAAGGGCAAAGUAAAGGUAAAGAAAUAAUUUAGAAUAUAAUAUUAUCAGUGCUGUGAUAGGUUAAUGUGCAGGAGACACAAUAAAGGAGUGAGUUCUACAAGUCUGGGGACACGGAGUGAGGAGAGAUGGGUCAGGAAAGUUUUUAUUGAGCAAACACUUGGACUAAGUAAUUGAACAAUGUAAGUGUUUAUAAGCGGGUAAAUUAGCAAAAACUUGGAUACUCUCAACUCCAGGAGAGAUCCAGGAAAAGAGAGAGUUGUACUAUUUCUGCUCGUCCCAUUGCCUAAUUCUACAUGUCAGGGGCCAGCUCAGGCCAUACAGAUCCCUUAGAGCCUUCACUGAACUUCCUCCCUCCUUAGUAAAUUUUUUUUUCCCACAGAUCUUGAGACAUUUAUUAGUUAUACACUAAUUACCUUAUGUACAUCCACCAGACUGCAAAUUGCUUGAGGACAGGGUCUCUUAUUAAUUCAUUUCUACCACAUUGGUGACUAAAACAAUGUCUGGGAUACAGUAGGUGAGCUUUUUAAAGUUUGUUGAAUACUAUCUAUGUCUCCACAAUUGAUUAGAAGUUUCCUGAAGGCAGGAAGAACAUUAUUUAUCCUUUCUAUGCCUGGCACAGGGCUCAAAGUGAAUGUUCAAUAAACGUUUAACGAACAAGGAGCCCACUGAAAUUUCCACAUGAUAGUGAAAUUGAUGGCACACUCACUAUGUGUCCUUUCUCUGAGCACCUAGUGUCACUUCUUCCUGCCUUUCUCCAGGCAGUGAGGUCUUGGAUAUCCUUAUUUCUCUCACUUCUGUCCUAAUGCAACUAGCUUUUUUUUUUUUUUUUGAGACGGAGUCUGUCUCUGUCCAGGCAGGAGUGCAGUGGUGCGAUCUCAGCUCACUGCAACCUCUGCCUCCCUAGGAGGUUCAAGCGAUUCUCCUGCCUCAGCCUCCCGAGUAGCUGGGACUACAGGCACGUGUCACCACGCUCGGCUAAUUUUUUAUUUUUUGUACUUUUAGUAGAGACAGGGUUUCACCAUGUUAGCCAGGGUGGUCUGGAUCUCCUGACCUCGUGAUCCAUCUGCCUCAGCCUCCCAAAGUGUUGGGAUUACAGGCGUGAGCCACCAAGCCCAGCUUUAGCUCUCCUCUUAAAAUGAUCUAGGUGAGGAUUUGCUAGAACUGAUGAUGGCUACAGUUUAUUGUCUUUCUUAAUUUAAAAAUACAUGAAUUAAAAAAUGUUGUUGGGUUUCCGGUAUUAUUUGUAAGCCAUGGAGAAUAUAUUUUGGAGAAAAAUAUCAACGCUGAAUCUUUCAACUCAUACUAUGGAUACAGCUGCCUAAACUGUAAUAGGACUGAGCCUUCCUUUUGGUCACGCACCUGACUGGUCCAUUAAUAUCUCUGCUGUUUGUGUCGACUUGGUUUAUUCUGCAUGAGUUUGUUUUUGGCAGUGGUUUAUGUUCCAAUGUUGUAUGGUGCCAGGCAACUUGAACUGUAACUGCAACAACAAUGGCAGCCUGUAUUCUAACUCAAAUUAUUUUAUCAGCUCAAAAAGAGCUCAUGAAAUCAACUGAUGUAUUUCACUGCUUUUUCUUAGGUUUCCUUUGGGAGGGGAAGGAAUAACCUUGAAGAGAGGUGAGAAUUGUCAUGGAUUUUGUGUGACUUGUUACUCAAGAUGACUCAUUAAGCUGCCAAGAGCCUCACAGCCCAUCCAAACUUCUCAAACAACUCCUUCAAUUCCAGCCCUUGACCUGAUCUAUGUAGAGGGUUGGAAAAUUCACAGCAAUACAAAGCUAUGGAAACAGACUGUCAUCCACAUAUAUGUUGGGUGAUGGGGGAGACAUGAAGAGUGAGAGACUGUGGAGACAGGAAAGUAGCAACAUUUGCCAUGAGAUUUUCCUCGAAACCAUCUCCUUCUUGAAUUUAGACACUCAUUGUUUAUGUGCAGUGGCCCUAGGUACAGAACGGUCACCACCCCAAGGAGAACUAUACCCUCCAGACUCAUAAACCAAAUUCUAGCCAGAUUCUCCCAGAAUAAAAUACUACAGUUCAUCCAUUAAGCUAAAUCUCCUUUCAACAAUUCCCUUCUUACCUGGCCCAUGAAAUGAAUCAUGAAGAGAUUAUUUUCUGGGCAAAUUGGUAGAAAAAUCCUGAUGCAGACAGUUCCCCUUCUGAUUGCACCUGACUUCCAUUCACUGACUAUCACAUCAAGUAGUGGUUCUCGGAAUUCAAAGGAGAGCUCAGCAAAAGAAGAAGAAAAAACAGCCCACAAAGUUUUUCAAGGUACCUACUGCAGUUAUCAGUUCAUAGAUCUAAAUGUUCGCACUGUAUGCUUGAUUUGCACAUUCCAAACCAAUUUGGUAAUUUUUUUCAUUUUUAUCUACACGCAUGAAGUGAUUCGGAAUACUGAAACAAUUUAGAAUCAUAUUUCGUUUGCAACAGUUCAAUUAACUUAAGUGCUGGAACAUGCUCUCCAACUGGUAACUAGUUUAAUUGGUUACUAUUACAAGAAAUAAAUUCUAUAGUCCUGGGGCCUCCCAGUGUCCUUUCUAGACAGGGCCCGGCCAUGCAGAGGUAUGUGGGAGUGGGAAGGCGAGGAGUGUAGCAAAAUUUCUUACUUAAAAAAGAAAAAUCCAAGAACCCAUUCUCUUAAAAAAAAAUAACUAGGUAUGAGUUUCCAUUUUCUGCUGUGAUUUUAUGACCUCCAGUUCCCUUGGAUCAACUUUACAACCACUCAAUAAGCAAGAGAAGGGUGUGGAUCAAGGGUCGAAGACUUUUAAAGCUAUUGCAUAAAUGCACUUAAGCAUGAGCCAAAGUGAUAAAUAGGAAACCAAGACGCAUGUCAGGAAUGCAGCGAAGAAUGAGUAGCUGGGACACUUUGAGCAGCUGUUAAGGCAACUCCAAACCCCUGGAAAGAAGGAUUUCCUUCUGGCUUACACCAAGGCUCAAUUGCUCUAGUUGCAUUUGCAUUGAAAGGCACUACUGCCAAAUUGUACAAGAACACUUAUAGUAGAAAAACAUGUAAAUUGUCAAAAGAUACAAAAUAAUACUGCAUCUCAUUUGUGGAUAUAUGGAAAUGUAGUUAAAGAGAAAAAGUGAGUAGGCAUAACACAUACUAACUAUUGGGGAGAGAAUGCUACUGAGGAAGAAAGGAGAAUAAAGGGAUAGGUAUGUGAUUUAAGUGCAAUCUUAAGCAUAUUGAAUAAAAUAUUAACAUCUCAUAAAUCUGGGUAUUAGAUACAUGGGGCUCAAUUCUAUUAUCUUAUGCACUUUCAUGUUUAUUUGAAAUGAUUUCUAAUUAAAAGUUAGAAACACUCAAAAAAAGAAUCAGUCCCUGUUUCGCAGCCAUUGGCAAACCAGUCAUUUCUCAAAAAAUUCUUCUGUCUUAAGAUCACAAACUCUGGAGGCGUCACGCUACCUGACUUCAAACUAUACUACAAGGCUACAGUAACCAAAGCAGCAUGGUACUGGUACCAAAACAGAGAUAUAGAUCAAUGGAACAGAACAGAGCCCUCAGAAAUAAUGCCGCAUAUCUACAACUAUCAUCUGAUCUUUGACAAACCUGAGAAAAACAAGCAAUGGGGAAAGGAUUCCCUAUUUAAUAAAUGGUGCUGGGAAAACUGGCUAGCCAUAUGUAGAAAGCUGAAACUGGAUCCCUUCCUUACACCUUAUACAAAAAUCAGUUCAAGAUGGAUUAAAGACUUAAACGUUAGACCUAAAACCAUAAAAACCCUAGAAGAAAACCUAGGCAUUACCAUUCAGGACAUAGGCAUGGGCAAGGACUUCAUGUCUAAAACACCAAAAGCAAUGGCAACAAAAGACAAAAUUGACAAAUGGGAUCUAAUUCAACUAAAGAGCUUCUGCACAGCGAAAGAAACUACCAUCAGAGUGAACAGGCAACCCACAAAAUUGGAGAAAAUGUUCACAACCUACUCAUCUGACAAAGGGCUAAUAUCCAGAAUCUACAAUGAACUCAAACAAAUUUACAAGAAAAAAACAACCCCAUCAAAAAGUGGACGAAGGACAUGAACAGACAUUUCUCAAAAGAAGACAUUUAUGCAGCCAAAAAACACAUGAAAAAAUGCUCACCAUCACUGGCCAUCAGAGAAAUGCAAAUCAAAACCACAAUGAGAUAUCAUCUCACACCAGUUAGAAUGGCAAUCAUUAAAAAGUCAGGAAACAACAGGUGCUGGAGAGGAUGUGGAGAAAUAGGAACACUUUUACACUGUUGGUGGGACUGUAAACUAGUUCAACCAUUGUGGAAGUCAGUGUGGCGAUUCCUCAGGGAUCUAGAACUGGAAAUACCAUUUGACCCAGCCAUCCCAUUACCGGGUAUAUACCCAAAGGACUAUAAAUCAUGCUGCUAUAAAGACACAUGCACACAUAUGUUUAUUGCAGCACUAUUCACAAUAGCAAAGACUUGGA